rnacentral:rRNA from 1 species
AUUGAACGCUGGCGGCAGGCCUAACACAUGCAAGUCGAACGAGUGGCGGACGGGUGAGUAAUGUCUGGGAAACUGCCUGAUGGAGGGGGAUAACUACUGGAAACGGUAGCUAAUACCGCAUACCAUCAGAUGUGCCCAGAUGGGAUUAGCUAGUAGGUGAGGUAACGGCUCACCUAGGCGACGAUCCCUAACUGGGCUGAGCGGAGGACCAGCCACCCUGGAACUUGUGCACGGUCCAGGCCCCCACGGUAGGCCACAGGGGGGAAUAUUGCCCAAUGGGGGCAAGCCCUAUGCAGGCAGGCCGCGUGUAUGAAGAAGGCCUUUGGGUUUUAAAGUACUUUCAGCGGGGAGGAGUUACCCGCAGAAGAAGGACCGGCUAACUCCGUGCCAGCAGCCGCGGUAAUAC